UUGGUUAAGUCCCGCACGAGCGCAACCCCUGUGGUUAGUUGCCAUCAGUUAGUUGGGUCACUCUAAGCAGACUGCCGUGGAUAACACGGAGGAAGGUGGGACGACGUCAAAUCAUCAUGCCCCUUAUGACCUGGGCUACACACGUGCUACAAUGGUCUGAACAGAGGGCUGCGAAACCGCGAGGUGAAGCUAAUCCCUUAAAACAGAUCUCAGUUCGGAUUGCAGGCUGCAAUUCGCCUGCAUGAAGUUGGAGUUGCUAGUAAUCGCAGAUCAGAAUGCUGCGGUGAAUGCGUUCCCGGGUCUU
rnacentral:rRNA from 1 species